GACGAACGCUGGCGGCGUGCCUAACACGUGCAAGUCGAACGGGGCUCUUUGGAUCGAGACUUCGGUCAAGUGAAUCUGAGCUUAGUGGCGGACGGGUGAGUAACGCGUGAGCAACCUGCCUUUCAGAGGGGGACAACAGUUGGAAACGACUGCUAAUACCGCAUAAGCCCACGGCCCGGCAUCGGGUUGAGGGAAAAGGAUUUAUUCGCUUCAGGAUGGACUCGCGUCCAAUUAGCUAGUUGGUGAGGUAACGGCCCACCAAGGCGACGAUUGGUAGCCGGACUGAGAGGUUGAACGGCCACAUUGGGACUGAGACACGGCCCAG
rnacentral:rRNA from 1 species